UACGUAGGCAGCAAGCGUUGUUCGGAGUUACUGGGCGUAAAGGGUGCGUAGGCGGCUUUUUAAGUUUGGUGUGAAAUCUCCCGGCUCAACCGGGAGGGUGCGCCGAAUACUGAGAGGCUAGAGUGUGGGAGAGGAAAGUGGAAUUCCUGGUGUAGCGGUGAAAUGCGUAGAUAUCAGGAGGAACACCGGUGGUGUAAACGGCUUUCUGGACCAUAACUGACGCUGAGGCACGAAAGCGUGGGGAGCAAACAGG
rnacentral:rRNA from 1 species